rnacentral:rRNA from 1 species
AGAGUGAACGCUGGCGGCACGCCUAACACAUGCAAGUCGAACGGGAGUAGCAAUACUCUAGUGGCGGACGGGUGAGGAAUACGUAGGAAUUUGCCCUUAAGUGGGGGAUAACCCGGGGAAACCCGGAUUAAUACCGCAUGACCUCGAAAGAGCAAAGUGGGGGAUCGCAAGACCUCACGCUUUUGGAGAAGCCUACGUCGGAUUAGCUAGUUGGUGAGGUAAUGGCUCACCAAGGCGACGAUCCGUAACUGGUCUGAGAGGAUGAUCAGUCACACCGGAACUGAGACACGGUCCGGACUCCUACGGGAGGCAGCAGUGGGGGAAUAUUGGACAAAUGGGCGCAAAGCCUGAUCCAGCAAAUGCCGCGUGUGUGAAGAAAGGCCCUGGGUU